rnacentral:rRNA from 1 species
AGAGUUUGAUCCUGGCUCAGAUUGAACGCUGGCGGCAGGCCUAACACAUGCAAGUCGAACGGUAACAUUUCUAGCUUGCUAGAAGAUGACGAGUGGCGGACGGGUGAGUAAUGCUUGGGAACUUGCCUUUGCGAGGGGGAUAACAGUUGGAAACGACUGCUAAUACCGCAUAAUGUCUUCGGACCAAACGGGGCUUCGGCUCCGGCGCAAAGAGAGGCCCAAGUGAGAUUAGCUAGUUGGUAAGGUAACGGCUUACCAAGGCGACGAUCUCUAGCUGUUCUGAGAGGAAGAUCAGCCACACUGGGACUGAGACACGGCCCAGACUCCUACGGGAGGCAGCAGUGGGGAAUAUUGCACAAUGGGGGAAACCCUGAUGCAGCCAUGCCGCGUGUGUGAAGAAGGCCUUCGGGUUGUAAAGCACUUUCAGUUGUGAGGAAAAGUUAGUAGUUAAUACCUGCUAGCCGUGACGUUAACAACAGAAGAAGCACCGGCUAACUCCGUGCCAGCAGCCGCGGUAAUACGGAGGGUGCGAGCGUUAAUCGGAAUUACUGGGCGUAAAGCGCACGCAGGCGGUUUGUUAAGCUAGAUGUGAAAGCCCCGGGCUCAACCUGGGAUGGUCAUUUAGAACUGGCAGACUAGAGUCUUGGAGAGGGGAGUGGAAUUCCAGGUGUAGCGGUGAAAUGCGUAGAUAUCUGGAGGAACAUCAGUGGCGAAAGGCGACUCCCUGGCCAAAGACUGACGCUCAUGUGCGAAAGUGUGGGUAGCGAACAGGAUUAGAUACCCUGGUAGUCCACACCGUAAACGCUGUCUACUAGCUGUGUGUGUCUUUAAGACGUGCGUAGCGAAGCUAACGCGCUAAGUA